UACGAAGGGGGCUAGCGUUGCUCGGAAUUACUGGGCGUAAAGGGCGCGUAGGCGGACAGUUUAGUCAGAGGUGAAAGCCCAGGGCUCAACCCUGGAAUUGCCUUUGAUACUGACUGUCUUGAGUGUGGGAGAGGUGUGUGGAACUCCGAGUGUAGAGGUGAAAUUCGUAGAUAUUCGGAAGAACACCAGUGGCGAAGGCGACACACUGGCCCAUUACUGACGCUGAGGCUCGAAAGCGUGGGGAGCAAACAGG
rnacentral:rRNA from 1 species